rnacentral:rRNA from 1 species
AGUCGAGGGGUCGGAAGGUAGACCCAGAGGCGAAGUGAAAUCGAAAGGCGGGGGCUCGCCUUCUCCGGAAGGAGUGAGUCCAUCCCCGCCGGUGGGAAGAAGGCCCCGCUCCGGCGGAAGGCCCGCACUCCCGGGGCGACCCGGUCCUUCCGGAUCCGCGGUCGCACCCUCGAGCGCACGCGUUGGGACCCGAAAGAUGGUGAACUAUGCCUGGCCAGGACGAAGUCAGGGGAAACCCUGAUGGAGGUCCGCAGCGAUUCUGACGUGCAAAUCGAUCGUCAGAGCUGGGUAUAGGGGCGAAAGACUAAUCGAACCGUCUAGUAGCUGGUUCCCUCCGAAGUUUCUCUCAGGAUAGCUGGCGCCGGAGUGGGAUGCAAGAGUCUCAUCCGGUAAAGCGAAUGAUUAGAGGCCUUGGGGCCGAAACGACCUCAACCUAUUCUCAAACUUUAAAUGGGUGAGAUCUCCGGCUUGCUCGAAGCGAUGAAGCCGCGAGGUCGGAUCCCGGUGCCAAGUGGGCCAUUUUUGGUAAGCAGAACUGGCGCUGUGGGAUGAA